rnacentral:lncRNA from 1 species
CUCACUGCAACUCCCCAAUCCAACAAAAUUACAUAAAAUGAAAGAUCCCAAAACCUUGGAGAGAGAGAAGCCAUAAGAAUGCCCAAUUCUUUCCCAAGAAUUCUCUUGUAAAUCCCCACUCUAAUUUUCAAAGGUUGCAAACUUGAAAUUAACAUAGAAGGUAACUGGCUUCAGAGUCAACUAGGAUAAUACUGGGCAUAUAUGCAGAGAGUAGGCAUAGUAGCAACUUUCAGGGUAUGGAAUAAUACAAAAGGAAAGGGAAGACCACAGAAUUCUCUCAGUCAUCUUAACUUGAUUUGGUACUAAGAAUAAGUUAUGUAUACACUUCCCACUGGCCCAUCUGUACGUUAAUAUAGAAAUAGAUUAUAUCCUGGCAACAAGGAAGUGAAAUACUCCUAUUUUUAUAUCAAUAUUGGGCACAAAUUAAGAGUUCAUCAAUAUAAUUUUACCUCAAUUGUAACCAACUGUGCAUAUAAGUUUACCUGAAUUGUUUGUCUGUGCUGCUUGUAUAUAUUGAUCUGUACAGUUGCUUUCUUCAACAAAGGGUCACUACUUUUCUGUACAUCAUAAUCUAUAUGUUCCUGCAAACAUAGUUUACAACUGUAAGCUCAAUAACUAGUGCACUGUUCGAAGUACAUGAUUGAAAAAUGAAGAAAACGGAGUGACCUUAUAACAAUUAAUGAAAGAUAAAAUGUAGUUCACAGAAUAAAACAUUCAAACACCACCAUCUUGAUAGUUAAACAAUUUCACUGUAAAAGCUAUUAAACUUAGCAGGAAAAAAAAUUUAAACUUUAUCUAACAUUUGAAUCUACAAUUUUCAAUUAGCAACUCUUGUCACAAAUGUUUAUUAGUGGGGUACGUUCUAAGAUAUUGUUAUUUGCUAAUUGUCGAGGAUUAUUUGGGAGUUAAAUCUCACAAGAAGGCGUAAAGAUCACAUUAGAAUUAGAUAUUUUACUAGGAAGCUAAAGAUCACAUUAGAACCACCCGCAGGAAUACAAAAAAACGACAUACCUUAUAGUCCAGUUGAUCAAAACCCUUGCAAACAAAUUCGAACAAGGUUCUUAAGUUCUCAGGGCUGGGUGCAGUUACAAAUAUAUUUGAAUACCUGUGAAGAUAUAUUUGUAUCGUCAAAACAUAGUACAUGAAUAUGAGUGUAGACAGCUACACAUACACCAAAACAGUUUUAAUACAUUGUAAAAGGCAUACUACCCUGCAGCAAUAGCUCCGGAAAUUGCCAAACCAAGUGCAGCCGAUUUUCCACGGCCUCGAGCAGCAAGCAAGGCAACAGUACUUCGGAGUGUCUUGUCCAAGAUUGCAUCAAGAAAUGUAGCAACAGCAUUUCCCUGUUGAAACAUUUACCAACUCAAACUAUGAGUCAUAUUAGUAAAUCACACAUGAUAGAAAAACUCAAAACUAAUACAAAUCAGAGAGAGUGCCUACCUGGUCCAACGUACAACAUUUCUUUAUUAAAGGGCCAACAGGAAAGGCAUCACUCAGCUGCUCUUUUAGAUCCUUCAGUUCCCUUUGUGACUCUGAUAUCCCUUCAGAGUCCUUCAAUCAUGAUCAGAAAACAAGAAAAAAGUUAUCAAAGUUAUCAAAGCUUCACAAACUCCUAGAAAGUAUCCUAAUAACCAUUCGGUAUACACACACUUGAAAAAUUACUUUUAUUCUUUUUGUCAUCUCGCAUAAGAUGCCACGAAAAUAAAGCAUUCCUCGAUUUAUCAGUUCCGUCCUAUAGAAAAGUUACAAGGCUAAAAGGUUACCUCUUUCACUGGAACUGGGGUAAUUGACCUCAUAUGAGAUGAAAUUGGUAAAAUAUUCAGCUCAUCAUCCAUUACUACACAUGAUUUGCAUGACGCAAGUGACAAUAAGAAACGCUCGUUAAAACGUCCAGUAGCCUUAGAAUGGGAUUCAGUUCGAAACCUAUCAUGAACAUCCUGAAAUCAAGAGGCGCUGAUAAGACUGUAUGGAGAUUUUUGCAUUUGAGAGAACGAGAAAGACAGUGUUGCAAAUAAAACAUGACAUAACGGAAUUGUUAUCAAAUAUAAUAUGUGGUGCAUGGCUAUUGCUAUAUUCGUUCUAAGUCCAUAAUGUAGUAAAACUAGAAACUACCUCAACAAGAAGAACAAAUAUUAUGAGGAAACCUAGUUGUUUUUUCUUCUUCUUUUUGGGGCUAGAACAUGAAAAGAAACAACUAGUCUACAUAGGCCCAACUGGGAAACUUAUAUGUUCAGCAGCAUUCUCUUAAAGAAAGUCAAGCAAUUGAAUCUACCAAAAGUCUUCUUGUAGCCAAGCACAUCAUUACGAAAAAAUUCGGAAACUUUUAACAUGGCUAGUUUUCAAGAUUUUGCGGUAUAUAAUAAGCAUAACCAUGCUGGCCUAAAAACUAAGCAUUAAUUGUGUGCAUGCGUAAGAGAAAGAGGUAUUAUUAUAUGCAUACCAUAACCAUGGUGUAGAGGUUGGUGAGUGAGGUUAGAGAAUGAAGCAACAAUAUGACUAGUCCACCUCCCUCCACUGUCUCUAUCGUUCUUGCUAGUAGAUUUGGAGUCAAGGCCUCAAAAUCCUAAUGCAGGAGAUCAAACUUAGUCAUAAAACUUAAAUCAAUUAUACAAGGGGUCUUGGCCAAACCAGUAAAUUUGUAAGUUUCAAGUUACCUGAAGUAUACACAUUCCAAAGGUAUUACCAAGAACUCUUUCUGAAUCCUUGUACAAGCAAUAAGUCAAUCCCCCACUUUCAACAAAAAGUGAGAAAGGAUCAACCUUCUCGGGAUCAAGCAGCCCCCUCUGCAUCAUCUUUUUUACUUGCUUAGCACGUUUUUUCUUGUGACUGCAUCAUGAAGUAGUCAAACGCAACGAAUCAAUAUAUUUUAAAAACGAAAUUCCGCCUUGCCUUAUAAUAAGGUGAAGAAUGGAAGGUAGAAGAAAUCAACCUGCUGAGCUCGAGCUUGUCCUUGUAGCACCACAACACAGUCGGGCGCGAUUUCUUUACUUCAUUGCUUAGCAUAUAAUGAAGAUUCACAAUCUGAAGACCAUAUAAAACUCCAUAUUAGCCAUUUUCCGUUAGUUUUCGAUAGAUUUUCGAUGAUAUUUCUUACCUUGUUUGAGGUUUUUAGUGUUACUCGGUGAGUAUUGCAGGUGAAAACAAGAAACAGUAAAACUGGUAAAAUUUUCUACCCAAUUCAAUUUAAAUCAUUGUUAUAACUCCUCAAAUUGAAUAGGAAUAGCAAAUAGGGAAUGGGAUAGGAAAGGCAGAAGAAAUUAGGAGUACCUGGUCACGGGAUUUGUCGCCGACGAUGACGAACAUGGAGCGGUGCCGGUUUUUGACGCCAUUGCUUAUUAGGGUUCGGAUUCGUUCGUCCACCUUCUUCCUCAUUCUCUCUCUCUCUUCUCUCUCUGUGCAAUUAGGUUUAGGGUUUAUACCAUAGGGCAGUUGUCGUCGUCGGGCAGGGUUUAAGCCGAACUAGUGAGAGAGAGACUAGACAUCGCGGAGAGAUAUUGAGUUCAUCUCAACCGUUGAUUGGCUAUCUGAUGGCUGUUAUCAAAGCUGACAUAAAAAUGAAAACUCAACACGUGGCCAAGUAUUUUUUUUCUCUCUUUUUUGGCUUAUUUAUUGAUUUGCCCCAGAAAUUAUUUUUUUUGUCUUACUCUAGGUCAUGAAACAGAAUUUAUCUUACUUUAUCUUCUAAAACUACCAAAAUCGAGUCAUUUCACCCAUGUUUUGUCAAUUCUAUCUCAUAAACGUUAAAUAAAAGGGAGUCUAAACAUUUCAUACCAUGCUAGCAAAGAUGAGCCACUGUUGUUGGUGAGGUACGAAAUUUUCAAACUUUCCUAAACCUUUAAAACUUAAAAGGUAUCUUGAAUAUGAACGUAAAUGAGGUAAAGUUGCUCAAUUUUGGCAAUUUAUGAAGGGUAAAAUGAGACAAAUUCAAUUUAAGGCUAAAGUGAGAGUAAAUGGCAGUUUCAUGAGAUAUAUCAAUAAAUAAAUCUUUUCUAGAAUACAACUAAAUUAUGUACUCACGGUAAAAGAUAAAUUAAUAUCGAACUUGUCAUUGACGAUAUCUAAACAUAAAACCUUUCAAGUUUUUACCUAUAAGAAUAAAUUUGGUAUAGUAAUUUCUUUUCUAAUUUAAAGUUUCCCAUAGAGUUAUGACGAAUUUGAUACCAAAUUAGGCUGUCAUUGUGUGGCAUAGCCGAAUUCCUCCUCCCUUACUUUAAAAAUAACGAUGUACUCAAAAAAAGUUUCCCAUAGAGUUAAAAUGAUCUUUAGUUGCUUGCUGAGACAACCCAUAUGUAUAAUAAGACAUUGAAAAAGGUGCCUCUGUCAUUUACACUCACACGAUCGAAUAAGUAGCUCCGACAGUUGCAUCAUAAAAUUAAGGGGUUUUCCGAGAUUGUAGUAAGGUUGACGAUUAAAGUUUGGGAAAUUUUCAGGUUAAGGAAUCAAGGGAUCACAUUUUCAAGUUUCGUAGGCAUUCUCUUUCCUUUGGAAUGGUGUUGGAAUCCGUCCUGAAGUUGCCCAUUCCUUUGCUCUUGAUUUUCAGAGUUGGAUAGCUAUAAACCUUAGGACACAUUGUACCACCAUACAUGGUUUACCUUGGAACCUUAUCUUUAAUUCAACUCUCUGGCAUUGCUGGAAAUGGAGGAAUAACUUUGUCUUCAAUGAUGGCCAACAACCGCUUGACUCACCCCAGAAUUUCAUUUUUCAAUUUGCAAGGGAAUGGUGUGAUGCGAACAAGUGUUCUUCUAGUAAGCCUCCUAGACAAAAUCAUCUCAAUCCAUUGGAUUCGUUUGCCAAUUGGUAUACAAAAUCAAUACAGAUGGGAGUUGUAAAGACCCAUUUAGCCACAUAAGUGCUGGAGGUUUGCUUCGUAAUUCUGAAGGGAAAUGGAUUAAGGGAUUUGCUGCUAAUUUGGGCAGAGGAACCAUCAUGGAAGGUGAGCUUUAAGGGUGGUUUCAUGGGACUUUCUAUAGGUUGGGAUGAGAGUUGCAAGGAAGUGAUUAUUGAAUGUGAUUCUUAUGCUGCUGUUACUUUGAUCCAACAACCUAUUUUAGUUCCCACUCUACAAUCUCAUUAUUGACUGCAAAGAAGCCAUUGAAAGAAAUUGAAGAUGUGAAGUUACUCAUAUCUAUAGAGAAAAUAAUGUCUUAGCUAAUCACACGUCUGACUUAGGUCAUGGGUUAUCACUUGGUCUUCAUGUUUUUGCUUCUCCUUCUACCAUUGCUACUAAUUUUAUAGUUUCUAAUACUAUUGGCAGGGCCCUCCCUAGAGCUGUUUUUUAGUAGCUUUUUUGUUUUGCUUGUUGGGCUUUGCCCUCUUCUGUACCCAAAAAAAAAAAAAAAAAAAAAAAUAUUGGGAAAUUUAUUUGGACCCAACUUUUUUAUCUCUACACCCAAAUAAUAUUUUCUCUUAUCUAAUCUUCCAAAUUUGUCCUUAAAUAACAAACAUUGAAGUUUUCUUUGUAUCUCUACACCCAAACCCCACGAUCCACCACUGUAGGGCGCUCCAUUAUUUCCGACAAACCCAACUCAAACGCCAGCAACACUAAAAUCGACAAAUCAAGACUGGAGAACAAAUGGUGUAGGAGUCCUAAUGUGAAUAUUAAAGCAAACUUAAGUUGCAAAACCCUUUUUUAUUUCAAUCGAUGAAAGGACCUUGGGUUAUGAACAUAAGGAACCUAUUAGGGUUUAGAGGUCCCCUCCACAUCAUAUGCAUAAGCCCUUUUUCUUCAUUCAUUAAUUUACGGAAGGGAAAAUUAAUACUAUUAUUCUCAUAAAAAGUGGGAAUACCAAGGAAAGAGAUCCUCUCCACACCAUAUAUUUUUCUUUUCUGAGUAGUUAUAUCCAAUGGAGAGAGGAAAACAAGAGCACCAAUGGUCGCAGGUUCACCGGAGAAAAUGAAGGUGCAGUGGUGAUGUGAGUUUAGGGUUAUUGGGUGUAAAGAUAACAACUUUAAUAUUUAUUUUCUCAUUUUUAUUUAUUUAAGGGCAAAUUUGAAAGUUUAGUAGAGAAAAUUUGUUAGUUGGGUGUAGAGAUAAAAAGGUUGGGUCCAACAAAAUUUCUCAUAAAGUUUAAUCACGCGAUUAAGUUCUUGUGCAAUGAGUAAAUUGUAGCAAUGACCCAUCAACUAAAAAUCCAUUAUUAUUGAUCCCUCAACUCAUCAAAAUAUGUAGUUAUGGUCAUUUUCGUCAACUUUGUAAGAAUUUUGUCAAAAUAAAUUAUGUUGGAAGGACCAUUGUUACAAUUAAGGUCCUUCAACUCAUCAAAACAUGUAGCUAUGGUCAUUUUCGUCAACUUUGUCAAAAUGAGUUAUGUUGGCAUGACCAUUAUUGCAAUUGGGUUAAAGUUGAGGAAUCAUUGCUCCAAUUGGGUUAAAGUUGAGGGAUCAUUUCUCUAGUUAGAUUAAAGUUGGGGGACCAAUGAUAAUUAAGUUUUAGUUAAGGGAUCAUAGUUGCACGUUUUGAUGAGUUGAGAGAUCAAUGAUAAUGAAUUUUUAGUUAAUGGAUCAUUACUCCAAUUGAGUUAAAAAUAAAGGACCAUUGCUACAAUUUACUCUUGUGCAAUAGAAGAUUAAUUUGGCCGAACAACCUGAUUAAGGUGCCUACUUUCUCUUUAAUUCAUUGGUAUCAUUUAUUUUCCCUUAAGCUGAAUUAUGCUCAAUUUAUGUAUCAAUAUUGUAAAGUUGUCUUUGUUAGAGUAAUUUGGACAAUAUAAAUUGAAAAUUAUUUGUGUAUAUGGAAAAGAUUAACCUCAGGGGUCACUUCGCCGGACUCCGUAGCAAUCUCCACCACUCCAAUCGUAAUGGUGAGUAAAUCACUUGUGUUUGUUUCCAUUUUUUCAAUUGGAAAUUGGGGGUUUUGAAUUCAUAUUUUGUCAAUUGGUUUUGUGAGCACUGAGAAUACACUACGAGCUUGUGUGUGUGUACAAUAUGUUGGAUUUGAUCUUUAUAAAGAAUGCGAGAAAUUGGGGUUAGGAAAGAGAAGAAAAGGAAACAGAACUCGAACUUCGAUCUUCAUUCUUGUUACUAAAGGAGAAAACCGAAUUUGAACCGGUUCAUACGUAAUCGAACCGAAUUUGUAUAGUUCGGUUCACCCCUUAGUACCGAACCGUACCAUACCAAAAAAAAUUUCUUGAGUUUGGUUUUGAUACAUCCCUCAUACUGUACCAUACCAAAUCGUGGCCAGACCUACUGAAUACAAAACUUAUAUCUGGGUCGUAAGUCGUAAGGCCUCCAAAAAAAAAGUUCAUAUUAUUCAUACCAAUCGGACAAAUCCCGCACCCAAAAACAAUGGCUAGAUAGAAAGUUCAAUUAUAGAUUAGGUAAUCUAUCCUUUUCAACUUAAAUGCACAUUCAUGAUGGUUAUGCAAAUCAUAUUAUGUUAACAAAUGCAACAAUUAAUUAUAUUUAUCCAUUUGGAAUGAUAUAUAUUUUCAAAGAUGGAAUUACAGACCCCGUUGACGUUGAGGCCAUUGCAUGAGAGAAUUUUAGAUGAUUUUCAAUUAAUUUAUAUUAUUGUUGUGAUAACCAUAAUAAUUAUUUUCUAAAUGUAAAACUAUAUUAAUGAAAUUUUCUUUGUCGGUCAAAAGAAGAUGAAAAGAUAUCUUUAUCUUCUAUCACAACAAAAAAAUUAAGGAUAUUAAUGUAAUAGGCUAAUAGCGAUGGGGUGAAGAAAUGGAACUAUCCUAAAUAGGCAGUUGCUGGUUAUAUUGGAUCAGGUGGUCUGAAUGAUUGGAUAAUUAGCAAAUAAAAAGGUUCCAUUUUUCAUGGACCCUCAAGUGGAAAUAUGGGAUAAAAGAUGGCAUAUACCAUUUUAUCCAUUUGUGAUUGUACAUUUUGAUGGUUGUGAUUUCACCCGAUGGCGCGGCAAGUGUGGAUUGGGAUAAGGAUGGUUUUGGUCUAUCAUCAAAGAUGGUUUGAUGUUCACGACUGGAUUUUACAACGCAUCCAAGUGCAUGGGUUCUAUAAAUACAGAGUUGCGCACAAUAAAAAAGUACAAAGGACCUUCAAACCUUUCACACACUCUGAGAAACUCCUGAUUCUCCCAACUUCGUCAACACAUCUUCAAUUUGGAUUAACAUCACUGUUUGUCAGUGAGGAGUCCUUAGUCUUCUCGUCUCAUUAGCCCUCUAGGUGAAGUGAGGUGUUACUGAAUUACUUGAGUAUUCAGCACAUUGAAAGUCGAACCUUAUUUGAACUUCACAGUAGUUAGCAAUCUUAUCUUCAGGUUUUAGAACCCAAUGCCAAGACAUAUUCCUUCCUCGACAGUGAUGGUUUGUACACAAAAGUUGGUUUGUACACAUAAGUCAGUAUUGUGUUUGACACACCAUCCCAUUCAUUCUACUAGCCCACAAACGCGUGGACUCGUCCAAAAUUACCCCACUCUCGGCCCGUUCACUUGCCCACUCGUCCCACGCGGCCCGUGAGUCUUCAGUGCCUGAUAGGGGGGCCUACUGUUAGGGCCGUUGUUGGCCACAACCCAGAGCCCAACGAUUUUUUUUUGCAUCCCACGACUGGCAUUUUUGGACCGUUGGUUGAUCCAACGGUCCAGAUUCAAAUUUUGUUUUUUUAAAUGUUAUUUUAAAAUACAUUGAAUCCAACGGCUGAGAUCGAAUAUAAUCAAAUCUAACGGUAAAAUAAAAAAAGAUAAAAAAAGAUAUAACAGUCCAAAUUUAAAUCCAACAGCUAAAAUAAUUUUAAAAAAAAUUAUUUAACUCAAAAUUCACCCAAAAACUCUAUAAAUACCUUUGUAUUUGUUCAAACAUCCACACAAAACUCAAUUUUCUCCCACAAUUCUUCCAUUUUUUCUUUCUACCAUUUCUUUCCAUUUCCAAAUUGUUCAACACGAUCCUUGAAUUGGCCAUCCCAAGCAGUAAGACAAUUCUUCCACUCCCAAAGCAUACAAUCGAGACUUCCUAUCAUGUCAGGAAAGCCUAUUUUGUCUGCUUUGAGUAGAAUGUGACGACAUGUCCCGAAUUAUUAUAUAUUUUUCUCCCUAAGUGUGUAAAGUGACGGUAAUGCCCUCGUGAUUUAGUGACGUGGAUGUACAUAUGUAGUUUUAAAUUAUUAUUUCUAUUGUCGUAGUUAAAUUGUACUCGACGCCAUGAGUGUGUUGAUGUGACCUAGGGCUAAAACAAAUUCGUAACGAAGAAGUUACGAACAGACGAGUGUGUAAAUGCGUAGAAAUAUAUUUUUAUGGGUUGGCUAUACCUUACCCACCAAUCACCUUAAUUCCUGAUUUCUUUGGCCUAAUUGAAUUAAAAAUAUCUCUCAUUUUUCCUUCUGCCCAAUCACGCACAUACACACCAUCACUCUCUCUCUUCUCUCGGACCUUCUUCUUCUUUCUUCUCAUUCCGUACACCCGAGCCACCCUUACCUCACAAUCAUCAUCAAAACAUUAUGGAUCGAAUUGGAAAUCACUACCAUCGCAGUCACCUCGAUCCCACGAACUCAUUGAUACCCUUAGGUCGAGGAAUAGACGUCGGGAAUUCGAGAACUCGGGAGCUCUGGCGAGGUGUAUUUUUCUACUUUGUGAUCGUGGUCUUUUUCUAUGGUUUAAAGGCUUGAGGUGGGUCCUAAUCAACUUUAUAGGGACCCUAGAUUAGUUUUGGAGCAGUUUGAACGUUGGAAUAGGUGAGAACAUGGAGUUGCAGGUUGGCCGGUUGAUCCAAGCCUUACUCCGACCACUUUCUGUCGGUUUUAGAACCUCAAGUAGGUAAGAUUGUAUUCUUCUAGUUGAGAGUUUCAAAUCCAUAUAAAAUUCAUGGAAUUUGGUUGAAAAAUGAUGAAGAUAUUAAAGUUUUAAGAUUUUUCCAAAAAUCAGCGACACAAACGGCGCCCGACGGCCAGCGAUGGAUUCCGACAAAGCCAUCGGAGAAGGAGGAGAAUAUUAUGUCUAACUUUGACAGAAUAUACUAACAGCGUCAGGUAACUCUAUUAGUUUUUAAACAAAAUAUUCUACUAUUUAAUGAAAUAUUCCCUAACGCCGUUAGGGAUUCCGUGCCUGCACGUGCCGGCUUAUGAGGGCGCGUGAGACGUCAGGAAAUUAAUCUAAAAAUAUUGGGGUGUUCGAGUUGUUGAGUAGGUCAUGUUGGUAUAUUCAAACACCCUAUUUGAGCAACGUAUGAGAAGUUAUUCCUAGGGUUUGUGUAUGUGCCUUAAAAUUAAUGUAAAAUUAGUUAUUUCGCAUAUAGGUGAGACUUACCCGGAGGACAAACGUGGUCAAACGAGACUUGGGGGCUACGAUCCUACUACUUACCAGUGAGCGGGCUUUUUUUUUCUAUAUAUAUGUAAAUAUGCUUAUGAAUCCCAUAAACUACUUUAAAUGAACGUAUGUUUUAAAUGCCAUGUCGUGUGCAUUAUGUGUUAGUAUUGCAUUAGUAUAGCUAUGCAUAGUAUUGGAUGAGACUGCGCAGACUCAGGUAAGUUUCAGGUGAGUACAUCAUGAUGGUAUUGGGUGCGUGUGUGUGGUUAUACGUUGAUGCAUUUUGAGCUUAUUAUCCUGCACAUUGGUGUUAGUGUUCUCGCCCAUGGCCAGGGCAUAGUUUUUCACAUGAUGUUCACCUCCUGGGCCGCACGCUCACUUUGGAUCCAAGUUUGGUGCACAGCCAUAUUGCACAGACCACAAUAGGUGGUUCCGACUCGUAGGUGACCUGCAAUUAUUUGCACAGCCUUCACGUGAUCGUAGCACUUAAGCGUACUUAUCUACACCCAGCCCUGUUGUACAGACCACAAUAGGUGGUUCCGACUUAUGUGCAUGCAUACUUGAUGAGCUAUAGAUUCAAUUGUACAGGUUACAUUAGGUGACUCCGGUUGGCAUACUAUUUUAGGUUGAUUCGUAUCACCUGGCUUACACAUUUUAUGGUUGAACAUCUUGACAUGGCAUACCUCUGUUUUCACUGCUCUAAGCAUUAUCCUUAUGUACCUAGUUGUUAUUAUUUUCUGGAAAAUUAUAUGGGUUUACAGUGAGGGGUUAGUAUGUUCAUAAAGACAACUGUGUUUUCAAAAACUUUGUUUUUGCCUACUCACAUUUUUUGUUUUGCACCCUUUCAGGUUCUAGGUAGUUGGUCAUCCUUGGUGGCUCACGAGGACUUUCACGGCGGUUCUGACAUCUCUGUAAAUAAGUAGGGAUUUUUUUCCCUGUUUGUAUAAUUAGUACUUAGUUGGUUCGAUUGCACUUUCGUUUACCCAUGCUCUGAUAUUUGUAUAACUUGCUUGGUCAUCUUUACUCACUUAUAUUAUCUUAGUUUAGAUAAGUUUGGUUUUAGGUUUUUAUUUAUUCGCAUUUCUUUUAUUAUUACUUCUGUUGCGCAUUUUGGCUACGUUACUCUUACGUGACGGGCAUCAUGUUUCGACUUCGGUUGGGGUGUGUCAUAAAAGCCUCUUCAAGUCUUCAUGAUUUGGCUUGCAGAGAUAUGUGGCUCCAUAUGUGGCCUGAAUUGCCCCACAGAAGCGCUCCAGGUUUUUAAUAGCAGUAGUCUCCGCAAGUCGGCAAUACUCAUCAGUUGAGUUUGCAGAGCACUCAUUAGCUAGCAUCCGAAAUGCAGAUGUGAGCUUCUGAUGAGGUGAUAGACUUUGUCGGCCUACGACAUUUAUCUUCCUUGCAAAGUAGUGGUCAUGAUUGACAACUGUGUUCAAGAUGCUUUCAAAAAUCUCUCUCCUCAUUCGAAACCGUCUCCGAAAAUCAUGAGCAGGAAAUCUCGGACGCUCAAUAAAAUAAUAUUUCAUCAUUCGGUCAUGACACUCUUCUCUAUCACGUUGCACAAAUGAACGCUUCGUGACAUAACCACAAUAGCUAGAUUCGACAUGGUGCUCAUAUUGCAUAAGCGAGUUUGGAAGUUUAGCUUAUGCGUUGAUCAUUUUUGAAUCCUCAAUGUCAAGGCUUGCUUGGUAUUAUGUCAUUUGCAUUGCCCUGCUACACCUUCUUCUAUCAUCCAUUGUUGAUAUAUUGAGGAUUUUUAUGAAACAAAAACACUUUGAAAGUUGAAAGAUUAGUGAAUAUAGGGAAUGAUUGAAGGUUGAAAGAUUGUGUGACCAACUGAUAUUGAACAUGUGUUUAUAUAGAGGAUGAUUGAUGAAAGUUGAAAGUUUGGUGAAAGUUGAACGGUUGGUGAAAGUUGAAGAUUUGUGAAAGUUAAAGACUUGCUUUGUGGAAAGAUUUAGUGAUUUUUUCAAUAUUUAUUGGAAUUUAAAUAUUUUUAUAUUAAAAUGUUCAUAAAAUUAAUUUACCAUAGGCUACAUAAUUUUUUUUAAAAGUUAAUUUAAGAAAAAAAAUUAGCCUAAGUUCAUUCUUUAAUAAUCCCGAACUAAAAUUUUAGGCUAGGGUUGGAGCAGAAAAACUGUUUCUGUGUUAAAAGCUAAAUUUUUUAGAUUAAAAAUUUUAAAUUUUAACCCAAAGGUUGGAGAUGAUUUAAGAAUGGAUAAACUUAACCAAGAAAAGAAGAAAAAAGAUGAAGGGCAAAUAAGUGAGAAGCAACAUGACACGACACACGGACGACCAUAGCAAUAAAGCGUGCGUCCUCACGUCCAUUGAAUAUAUAGAUGGGAGCUACAACAUCGUGUUUCACGUGCAUGUGUAUUAUACAUAAAGGCAUAUACAGUGUUAGCUUAUAUAUUAUAAAGUUUGUAGGCCACUUACCCAAUUUGGCAUAUGUUUUAUCUUUUUACGUGAAUAACCAAUGUGUUAUGAUGAUACAAGUCUCUUAACAUAUCCGGAGUUAGAAAUAUCAUAAGACAGUGUUGCGAUCAUAUUGAAAUUAAUUGACAGUUUGUAUUAUAUAUUUGAUUAUUCUUUAUUAACUUAAGGAGACAGCAUACUUAGACCUAAUUUAGUCACAUUCUCCAACCGAAAAUAAAGCGGUGUAGUAUUCAUACACUUUUUUUUAUUUCUUACACAGUCUUAAUUAAUUUCUAUUGUUUGAUCUUCUUCAAUUCAUUCGAUCUGACGACCGAAAAUUAAGAUGGUGUGUGGACGAGUAAAUUAUAACAAUGGUCCCUCAACUUUAAUCAAAUUGGAGCAAGGGUGCUCAACUAAAAAUCCAUUACCAUUGGUUCCUCAACUCAUCAAAAUGUGUAGCUAUGGUCAUUUUCGUCAACUUCGUUACAAUUUUGUCAAAAUAAGUUAUAUUGGAAUGACUAUUGCUACAAUUGGGGUCCCUCAACUCAUCAAAACGUGUAGCUAUGGUCAUUUUCAUCAAUUUCGUUAGAAUUUUAUCAAAAUGAGUUUUGUUGGAAUGACCAUUGCUACAAUUGAAUUAAAGUUGAGGGACUAUUAUUUCAAUUGAGUUAAAGUUGAAAGAUCAUUUCUUCAGUUGUAUUAAAGUUGAAGGAUCAAUGGUAAUGAAUUUUUAGUUGAGGGGACUAUAGCUGCACGUUUUAAUGAGUUGAGAGAACAAUAAUAAUGAAUUUUUAGUUGAAAAACUAUUACUUCAAUUGAGUUAAAAUUAAGAAACAAUUGCUACAAUUUUUUUAUAUGGAAAGUGGAUGAUGUGAAUAGCACAUCCAAAAAUAAAAGGGAACUUUAACGAAAAGCACCCGGUACUGUUCACUUUAACGAAAAACCACAUUUUUACACUAAAAAGUCAAUCCUGGUACUAUUCACUUUACCCUUUAUUUUGUCCUUAUCAUUAAAACUCAAAGUUUUCAAGCCCUUUUCAUUAGUUUUCCUAAAAUAAAAUGCACCACAAUUUGGUAGGAUCUUCCUGUUGAGAGUAAUAAAUUAAUAAUUGCCGAAAUAUUGGAUAAUUUGUCGGCCACAACGCUAUGAGGGAGUAUCUGGGGAUGAAUAUACUCUUGCCGACAGAUGCCCAAAUUCCAACUGCCAUUCAAAUGAGCCCUCCACCACCACCGGCCAUAAUAAAUUCUCUUUCUUUAGUGAAGAAGAAAAAGAGGUACUUGGCCCUCACCUCAACUUUUUGAGAAAGAACAAGUUUAUCGCUAUCAGAAUGUUUCGGUCAAUUAUAUAAGUUAUGUGUAAAUUUUUCUUUAGAUAACAUUACAUUAUUAUAUUUAAAAUGUUCCGUAACGAUAAAUUUGUUUCAUACAAAUUAUUCUCCAACUUCUUGGAUUUUUCUCCUUUUUCCCGAAAACCAGCUUAUAUUAGUGUUCAUCCUCUGUCAAUAUCACUCGCCCACAACUAUUCAACUAACUUUUAAUAAUUUGACAACGUGUCAUAUUUUUGUGCAAAGCGGGCCCAUUUUUGUGGGUGAUAUAAUAAUGGCGUAUGUGGUUUGUCAAGACAUAUACUCAUUUAUCCAUUAGCAGUUAGGUAAGUCACCUCACUCACCCACAGCCUAACACAUCAACAAAUAUUGCUUACAAAUUCUAGAAAAUUCGACCAAGAAAAAAAACCAAAUGCUCGCAAAUUAAAAUUGUGUAACAUGAUUAGUUUUUUAUCCAUUAGUAUUAAUUUUACGUUGGAAGAAAUUCCAAAUUUAUUCUUGUAAAGAGGGAUAUGAAAAUACUUUGUAUGUCUAUCACCAAAAUCUUCGAAUGUUUGAAUGGUUGAUUUUCAAGUCUCACACAAUUGGAUUUAGUUCAAGUGAGAAAGAAAUACACUCAAACUAUUAGAUAUGAGGAAUGAAAAUACACUACAAAAUCUUGUGAACAUUUCUAAUAUUCUCUUCUAUCUACUUUUUGUGAACCAAGUUUUUAUUUGUUUUUUUUUUUAACAAAAGAUAUUUUUUAUACUAGGGAAAUAAGGUGGGUUUAGCCUCAUAAUGGGCUAACAUAAUCUAGUUCAAACUUGCAUUUGGUGAGAAUCGAACCUAAAAUCUCUCACUUACAAGUGAAGAGGAAUACCAUUAGAAGUGUCAUGAAAUUAGCAGUCUUAUAUGUAAAAAAUUGAUUGACUAAAUGCUGUGUUAAAAAACAAGAUUAAUACUUGCAUCUCCCCACUUGGAAAAUGCAAAUAUUUCAUUUCUUGCAAAUAACGUAUAUCAUGCGUUCUGUUCAAUCGCAUAUUCAAAAAUGUUAAAAACAAGAUUAAUAUUUCUAUCUCCCCACUUGGAAAAUGCAGUAUUUCAUUUUUUACGAAUAACGUAUAUCCUGUGUUCCGUCCAAUCGCGUAUUAAAAAAAUGUGUGAAGUUUGGAUUAACUACACUCUUUGAGAAUUUCCUUAAAUAACCACUUUUUGAAAAUUUCUUAUAGGACUAAGUGAGUCUCCGCUGAGAAUUUCCUUAACUAACACAACACUACUUGAGUGAUAAUUUGUUAUAUCUUGAAUAGAGAAUAAAUCAGUUCCCUACUUUUGAAGGUACUAUUAACUUACACUAUAUUUGAAUGAGAACAAUAAACUUAGAAUUUAGAUGAAGGAAAUAAAACAGUUUCCUACUUUUGAAGGUACUACUCGAGUGAUAAUUUGUUAUAUCUUGAUAACGUGUCAUAUUUUUUUGCUAAGCGGACCCAUUUUUGUGGGGUGGUAUAAUAAUGGCGUUUGUUGUUUGUCAAGGGCAUAUACCCAUUUAUCCAUUAGCAGUUAGGUCACCUCACUCACCCACAACCUAGUACAUCAACAAAUAUUGCUUACAAAUUCUAGAAAAUUCAACCAAGAGAAAGAAAACCAAAUGCUCGCAAAUUAAUCUGUGUAACAUUAGUUUUUAUCCAUUAGUAUUUAUUUUACAUUGGAAGAAAUUCCAAAUUUAAUCUCGUAAAGAGGGAUAUGAAAAUACUUUGUAUAUCUAUUAUCAAAAUCUUUGAAUGUUUGAAUGAUUGAUCAUCAAGUCUCACACGAUUGAAUUUAGUUCAAGUGAGGAAGAAAUACACACAAACUAUUAUAUAUGAGGAUUGAAAAAUACACUACAAAAUCUUGUGAUAACAUUUCUAAUAUUCCUUUCUAUCUACAUUUUGUGAUAAGUUUUUUUUUUCCUUUUUUGAACAAACUAUAUUUAUCUACAUUAAGGGAGAGGAGGUGAUCUUAGCCUCACAAUGGGCUAGCAUAAUGUGGUUCAAAUUCGCCUUUGGCGAUAAUCGAACCUAAAACUUAUCAUUUACAAGUAAAUAGGAAUACCACUAGAUGGAUCAUGAAAUUAGCAGUCUUAUAGGUAAAAAAAAAUUGAUCGACUAAAUGAUGUGUUAAAAAACAAGAUUAAUACUUGCAUCUCUCCACUUGAAAAAUGUAGAUAUUUCUGUGAACACGGAAAAUUCCUGAAACGAAAGAGACAAGAACAACGUGCACAAAAUAAUAUUUUGGUGUUAAUGGAUUUGUUGGGUUACGAUCUCUUUUAACUUGAUCCUCUGAUUCGAUCUCCGUAAGGUGUUGAUUUAUGGAUGUUUCGUUGAUCCAAGGGCUGUUGAGGCUUGAUCUUAGAUGAACUGUUGGAAGUUUCUUCAAGGGGCCGUGGGCUUGAUCUUUGAAGGUGGAUUUGAGCGGAUCUUCAAGGAGCCGUUGGGGCUUGAUCUUGAGGAUGAGUGUUUCUUCAAGGGCCGUUAAGGCUUGAUCUUGAAUAACGGUGAUGAACGGAUCUUCAAGGGCUUUUGGGCUUGAUCUUGAAGAACGGUUGGAUGUGUGGAUUUGUUGAUGUUGUUGAUCCAAGGGCCGUCGGAGCUUGAUCUUGGAAGAACGAUGAACGAAGAACGAAGAACACUUUCUUCAAAGGCCGUCGGGGCUUGAUCUUGAAUUGGUGAUUGUUGAUCCAAGGGCCGUCGGGGCUUGAUCUUGGAAGAACGAUGAACGAAGAACGAAGAACACUUUCUUCAAGGGCUGUCGGGGCUUGAUCUUGAAUUGGUGAUUGUUAAUCCAAGGGCCGUCGGGGCUUGAUCUUGAUUCUUCGGGAUGAACGGAUGAUGAACAAUGAACACUUUCUUCAAGGGCCGUCGGGGCUUGAUCUUGAAUUGGUGGAAGUUCUUCAAGGGCCUUUGGGGCUUGAUCUUGAAGGUGGAUGAUUGUUGAUCCAAGGGCCGUCGGGGCUUGAUCUUGGGAUGAACAGUUGUGUGGAUUUGUUGAACACUUUCUUCAAGGGCCGUCGAUGCUUGAUCUUGAAUUGGUGGAAGUUCUUCAAGGGCCGUUGGGGCUUGAUCUUGAAGGAGGAUUUGACGAAGAACGAAGAGGGCUUUCUUGAUCCUUCGGGAUUUGCUUGAAUUUGGGAGGUUGGAUGCUUGAAAGCUUUAGAGUUUCAAAGCUUCAAGGAUUUUGGAUGUGUGGGGAGUAUUCUCUUCCAUUUUGGGAGUAGAGAAAUGUAUUUGUGAAUUGGUUUUUGAUACCUUGAUGUAGAAGCCUAUUUAUAGGCUUUGAGAAUGAAUCACCACCACAAAAUAUUUUUUUUCUUUUCCAAGCACCAUUGCCUAAUUUCCCACUUAAUACAAUUUUAAACUUGAAGUGGUAAUUUUAUGGCCUAAUUUUCCACUUAAUAUCAUUUUAAACUUGAUAUGUGCAUGCUUUGUCAUUGCCCAAAAUGAGAAGAAAACCUUGUUUUGAUCUUCAAUGAAUUGAAAUGUGCUUGCCUUGUCAUUGCCCAAAAUGAGAAGAAAAACUUGUGUAAUCCUUCAAGGGUAUUUCUUUUUAUUUUGUUGAGUCGCACACCAUGUGUACAAUUUGUAUGACACGUGGCAUAUGCCAUGUACGCCUUGACACGUCAAAAUUUUAAUGCGUUGGUGAACAUUUAUUUCACCGCAAUUUCGGUGUCUACAAAUGCCCCCACUUCAAGGUGCGUCGUAUACAUGUGCUUGUCACGUGUAGGAGAUGCGUUUUGAAGUCCCUUACUGUAGAUGUCAAUCCAAUGGCCAUCGAGGCUUGAUCUUGAAUUGGGCUGGAGAUUUCUUCAAGGGCCGUUGAGGCUUGUUCUUGGACUUUGUUUGAAAUUUCUUCAAGGGCCAUCGAGGCUUGAUCUUGAAGGUUGAAAUUGGACCACAAGGAGCUUCAUGUGGUAGAUGAUCUUUGGCUUUGGUAGUGGAUGAAUCGGCACGUAUUUGUUUUUGCGCUUUGUUGACUUUCCACAGCUUUGAUCUUGAACUGGGUUGGAGGAUUUUUUGGAUUCCUCCAAUUGUUGAUUUUCCACAGUUUAUUCUUGAACUGGAUUUGAUUCAAAUAUGGUGGACGCUUGAUCUUGAAUCGGACUUGUGAUUUCCUCAAGGGCCGUCGAGGCUUGAUCUUGAAUUUGGCCGGAAACUUCUUCAAGGGCCGUUGAGGCUUGAUUCUUGAAGGUUGACUCGAACACAUGGCAAGCAGGCACGAGGUGAAGGUGACGACUUGUUGCUUUGUUCAAUCUUUCUAAUUCACACCUGAGCAGUUUGGUCAACGGUAUGAUCUUCAAGAUUGAUGGGCUCUUCUUCCAGUUGGUGAUUUGAUCUUUAAGGAUUUGAUUCAAGGGUGGUGAAACGGCACAUGCAGCCCACAACGCCUAGCAAGUCGACCCAAGAAUUUGAGGGUUAAAACGAGUCCUCCACCCAGAGUGAUUGCAAACCUGAUGAUAUGAGAUACUUUUGAUUUUGAAGAAGUAGCGGAUGAAUCGGCACGUGCUUUGUUGUGCUUGUCUCCACAUGCUUCAAUGUAUCAUUUUCCCUUGUCUUAUCUAUUCUUCUAGCAGAAUGUAGCAUCUUCUUAAGUUCUUCAACUCAGACUCCUUCUGCUGAGCUGACUGUGCAGGCUGCAUUAUUCUCUGCUUGUUUCUUUAGGCAGAUGUGGCAGCUUCUUGAGUUCCUCAGCUCGGACUCCUUCUGCUGAGCUGAUUGUGAAGACUGCAUUCUUAUCUGCUUGUUUCUUCUGUACGUUGUCUCCACAUGCUGCAAGGUAUCAUUUUCAAUUGCCUUAUUUGUUUUCCAGGCAAAUGUGGCAUCCGAGUUUGAGUGGAGGUUCUGGCAUAUUGUUUUCUUUAUCCUUGUCUUUGUAGGUAAGAACAAGGACAAAGGAAAGGACAGGGAGAACGCAUGAUAUGAUAUACUCUUGCUUUCUACCCUGGUGAUAUGAGAUACUUUUGCUUUGGUGUCAUUUGUUUGCAGAGGUACCCCAAGGAAUAAGAAACACUGAGUGACUCGAGAGGCUUUGUUGGGAAGGCAUUCUAGGAGAUGAAGAAAGGUUCUUGGAGAUGAAGAAAGGUUCUCGGAGAUGAAGAAAGGUUAUGUAUGUCUGCCUUGCUAUGGAGGGUAAAGGUGGACAGUUAUAGGAAAUUCUUUAGUACCUGUAGAGGUACUAUUCUUUUACUCGUGUCGGCAACCAAUGUGUGAUUGAUCAGUAUGGCUUCACGUGUUUUCUUCUUUAUCAGAAAUCUUCGACAAAUUGUCCGUAAUUUUCGUCAAGCUGAGUGUGCAUGUGACAGGUGUUGACGAGGCUGAAAAAGACUGGUGCCUCUUCGAUAUCUGGGAUCGGCGCUUCGACAAAUUGCCCGUGAUUUCCGCAAAGCUGAGUUUGCGCGUGACGGGUGCUGACGAGGCUGAAAAAGACUGGCGCCUCUUCGAUAUCUGGGAUUGGCGCUUUAACAAAUUGCCCAUGAUUUCUGCAAAGCUGAGUUUGCACGUGACGGGUGCUAACGCGUCUGGAAAAGCAAGAUGCUUCUCCGAUUUCUGAGCUUGCCUCUUUGAUUUUUGAAUUGGCCUCUUCGAAUUCUGAGCUCGCCUCUUCGAUCUUUGAAAUCCCAUCGAGUGUUGAUCUUUAUAGAGGCACGCAGUUCGUUUCAAAGCACACUUGAAUUUUCGCUUGUAGAAACUCCCUUCUUGCACUUCUAAGAUCUUGAUUUGUCCGACCUCUUCUUUCUUCAACACCUUUGAAAAUGUCUGGACCCUCCGACCGUCAUUUUGAUUUGAACCUUGGUGAAGAGGUAGUCCCGUCUUCUCCAGAUAACAUAUGACGCCCAUCUUUCAUAUCCCCUACUGGUCCUCUUACCGUUGGGGAUUCGGUGGUGAAGAAUGAUAUGACCGCUGCGGUGGUGGCCCGAAACCUUGUCACUCCCAGAGAUAACAGACUACUUUCCAAACGGUCUGAUGAGUUGGCUGUUAAGGAUUCUCUGGCUCUCAGUGUGCAGUGUGCAGGUUCUGUGUCUAAUAUGGCCCAACGCCUAUUUGCUCGAACCCGUCAAGUUGAAUCAUUGGCGGCUGAAGUGAUGAGUCUCAAACAGGAGAUAUUAGAGGGCUCAAGCAGAGAGAUAAACAGUUGCAUAAGCUCGCACAUAGCUAUGCGACAAACAUGAAGAGGAAGAUUAACCAGAUGCAGGAAUCUGAUGGUCAGAUUUUACUUGAUCAUCAGAGGUUUGUGGGUUUGUUCCAGCAGCAUUUGCCUUCGUCUUCUGGGGCUGUACCGCGUAAUGAAGCUCCAAAUGAUCAACCCUUGGCUCCUCUUCUUCCUGGAGUUCCGCCGAGUGGUGUGGCUUCAAACAGUCAACCUCCGACGCCUCUCAUUUCUGGAGCUCUGCUGAGUGGUGAGGUGGCACCUAAUCGUCCUUGAAGAUCCCCUCUUGUAAAUUUGAUUUGAUUUUUUUUUAAGUAUGUAUAAUGCAAAUUUAUGUAAAAUUUCCAGAAAAAAUAAAUAAAAACGGACUUUAUUUCUCUCAAUGCAUUUGUUUUGUUUUGUUUUUGUUUUUUUUGUUUUUUUGUUUUUGUUUUUUUUGUAAAUACAUAAUAACAUAUGUAUUUAUUUAUUUAUUCUUUUGUAAUAAAAUUGACUUUCUUUAAUAAAACUUUUAUAUUUUUCUUAUUUAUUUUGAUAUGACUGAACUCGAAAUUGAAUGUUCGAGCCGCCUACGUACCCUUCCAAAGAAGAGAUCAAGCCAUAACGUAGUUCAAAUGAGUGAUGAAUUUAAUAGUGAUUUUGAUGAUGAUUUUGCCGUACACAGUUUAUGCUCUUGUGGGCCAGGAGCUUUGGUGUUGCCUUUUAUGCUCGUGCAGACCAGGAGCGUUGAUGUCGCCUUUUAUGCUCGUGUGGGUCAGGAGCGUUGAUGUUGCCUUUUAUGCUCGUGCAGACCAGGAGCUUUGUGCCAUGCAGUUUAGACUCGUGCGGGCAAGGAGCUUUGGUUCGUGCAGUUUAGGCUCAUGCGAACAAGGAGCAUUGGUUCGUGCAGUUUAGGCUCGUGCGAACAAGGAGCAUUGGUGUUGCCUUUUAUGCUCGUGCAGACCAGGAGCUUUGUGCUAUGCAGUUUAGACUCGUGCGGGUGAGGAGAAUUUGUGAAUUUUGUCAAGCACUUUUGGAGAGGCGUUCCUUACAAUCUUCAUAGCAAGGAGCCUUGACCGAGUGAUUGAAGAAGUCUUCGGGAAAGAAGUCGCACAUCGUGAUGGCAACAGACGAUCUUUGUGUCGUAAUUUCAUCAUCUUCAACACGUUCACGUUGCUUUGAAGGUUGACAAGAGCUGCUUUGCCCCCUUUCCGAUUGGCGGACUUGUGGAGGAGACGUAUGCUUCUUGUGCCAUUUCUUAGGAGUGACUUGAGUCCAUCCUUCAAGUUUGCUUGUUUUGGAGGAUGCCCCCGGCGGUUGAGGUGAAAAUUUUGUGUUGAAAGAGCCAGAAGUGAUGGUGGUAUAGUUUGACUUCACCACAUCGUCAAGAUCUAGCUCGAUGAUUCCUUUCUGAGCCCACUUUAUGAUGAGAUCUUUCAGCACAAAGCACUUUUCUGUCGGAUGACUGAUGAAGCGGUGGAAUUUACAGUAUCUUGGACUGUUGGUACGAUUCAUCUCUUCCGGCCAUCUGCACUCAGGCAAACUGAUCACCUUCUUGUCCAACAGGUCAUCCAACAUGGCAACCACAUCAGAGUCAGGGAAUGGAUAAGUCUUCUCUUUAAGCUCCUUCAAAGUGCGUCUACGCAUCUCUUGAUCACGAAAAGCUUCGGUUUGAAUCGUUUUGCCUCGUGUGGAGAUUUUGACGGGAGAUGUGUUGACUGUCAUUGCUUCCUUGGUGGAUUUCCACGUAGCCUUCUCCACCUUUGUCUCAAGAAUUUUGUCGUUCUUGUAGUCGGCGAUCGGUUCCUUCUUCCCAUGAUGGGUGAUGCUCAACUCCAUGUCAUGGGCGUGGGUGGCCAAUUCCUCGAAGGUCCGUGGUUUAAUGCCUUGAAGGAUGUAUUGCAAACCUCAUUGCAUGCCUUGGAUGCACAUCUCGAUUGAAGAGGUCUCCGAGAGCCUAUCUUUGCAGUCGAGGCUUAGAGUGCGCCAUCUGUUGAUGUAGUCAAUGACCGGCUCAUCUUUCCAUUGCUUCAUACUUGUGAGCUCCAACAUGCUUACAGUGCGGCGGGUGUUGUAGAAGCGGUUGAGGAAUUCCCGCUCCAAUUGCUCCCAGCUGUUGAUGGACUCAGGCUCUAGGUCCGUGUACCACUCAAAUGCGUUUCUUUUCAGCGAGCGCAUAAACUGCUUGGCGAAGUAGUCCCCCUCCGUCCCCGCGUUGUUGCAAGUUUUGACGAAAUGUGCAACGUGCUGCUUUGGGUUUCCUUUUCCAUCAAACUGCAUGAACUUUGGUGGUUGAUAUCCCAUCGGCAUCUUUAGGGCAUCAAUCUUCUUUGAAUAAGGCUUUGAGUACAACCCGGAGGUAUUUGAGCUCCCUUCGUACUAUGCCUUGACGGUGCUGGCAAUCAUCUCUUGCAACUGUUGGAUAGAAAGAGAUCCCAUGAGUGCCGCUUCUUGGUCUGGCUCCGGCUUCACAUCGAUUUUCUCCACCGUAGGCUCAUCUUCUGGGUUAGGGUUCUCGCUGUCCUGUGGCUCCAGUUGACUGAUGAGUGCAGCGAUUUGCAAGUCUUUUUCUUCCACAGUUCGGGUUAGCCUUGCGAUUGCUUCAUUCAUUUGAGCCAGUUGUUCUUCGAUGGAGGUAACGCCGAUGGUCAUGACUUGUGCAACCAAUAGACGUGACUUUCCUUUAGACAUCCAAGAUGCUGAAGAAGAACGUCAUUGGUUGUUUUGGGAUGUCAUCUUGUGUGCCUCAGCAACAUGCUUUGGUGCCCCCAGCGAGGUCAGGUUGAUGACAGACUCACACCUUUGAUGCUCCCUUUGCUCUUUUAGCGGCACCAACUUUGAAGUGGCAUGUUAAGGAGCGGUUGUGGUGCUAAUGGAUUGUCCAUUUGCGGCAGAAGUGCUUAGGAUCCUUCCCUCAGUGAUUGCGAGAACGGCUUGUCCCUUGCUUGAUGCCAUUGAUUUUGAGGUGUGUUUGGAUUCCUUAAACGGAGAAAGAUAUGAGAGGUAGAGAUUGUCCCACCGGGCGUGCCAAUUUGUGAACACGAAAAUUUCCUGAAACGAAAGAGACAAGAACAACGUGCACAAAAUAAUAUUUUGGUGUUAAUGGAUUUGUUGGGUUACGAUCUCUUUUAACUUGAUCCUCUGAUUCGAUCUCCGUAAGGUGUUGAUUUAUGGAUGUUUCGUUGAUCUAAGGGCCGUCGAGGCUUGAUCUUGGAUGAACUGUUGGAAGUUUCUUCAAGGGGCCGUGGGCUUGAUCUUUGAAGGUGGAUUUGAGCGGAUCUUCAAGGAGCCGUUGGGGCUUGAUCUUGAGGAUGAGUGUUUCUUCAAGGGCCGUUAAGGCUUGAUCUUGAAUAACGGUGAUGAACGGAUCUUCAAGGGCUUUUGGGCUUGAUCUUGAAGAACGGUUGGAUGUGUGGAUUUGUUGAUGUUGUUGAUCCAAGGGCCGUCGGGGCUUGAUCUUGGAAGAACGAUGAACGAAGAACGAAGAACACUUUCUUCAAAGGCCGUCGGGGCUUGAUCUUGAAUUGGUGAUUGUUGAUCCAAGGGCCGUCGGGGCUUGAUCUUGGAAGAACGGUGAACGAAGAAUGAAGAACGAAGAACACUUUCUUCAAGGGCCGUCGGGGCUUGAUCUUGAAUUGGUGAUUGUUAAUCAAAGGGCCGUCGGGGCUUGAUCUUGGAAGAACGAUGAACGAAGAACGAAGAAGGCUUUCUUGAUUCUUCGGGAUGAACGGAUGAUGAACAAUGAACACUUUCUUCAAGGGCCAUCGGGGCUUGAUCUUGAAUUGGUGGAAGUUCUUCAGGGCCUUUGGGGCUUGAUCUUGAAGGUGGAUGAUUGUUGAUCCAAGGGCCGUCGGGGCUUGAUCUUGGGAUGAACAGUUGUGUGGAUUUGUUGAACACUUUCUUCAAGGGCCGUCGAUGCUUGAUCUUGAAUUGGUGGAAGUUCGUCAAGGGCCGUUGGGGCUUGAUCUUGAAGAAGGAUUUGACGAAGAACGAAGAGAGCUUUCUUGAUCCUUCGGAAUUUGCUUGAAUUUGGGAGGUUGGAUGCUUGAAAGCUUUAGAGUUUCAAAGCUUCAAGGAUUUUGGAUGUGUGGGGAGUAUUCUCUUACAUUUUGGGAGUAGAGAAAUGUAUUUGUGAAUUGGUUUUUGAUACCUUGAUGUAGAAGCCUAUUUAUAGGCUUUGAGAAUGAAUCACCACCACAAAAUAUUUUUUUCUUUUCCAAGCACCAUUGCCUAAUUUCCCACUUAAUACAAUUUUAAACUUGAAGUGGUAAUUUUAUGGCCUAAUUUUCCACUUAAUAUCAUUUUAAACUUGAUAUGUGCAUGCUUUGUCAUUGCCCAAAAUGAGAAGAAAACCUUGUUUUGAUCUUCAAUGGAUUGAAAUGUGCUUUGCCUUGUCAUUGCCCAAAAUGAGAAGAAAAACUUGUGUAAUCCUCCAAGGGUAUUUCUUUUUAUUUUGUUGAGUCACACACCAUGUGUACAAUUUGUAUGACACGUGGCAUAUGCCAUAUAUGCCUUGACACGUCAAAAUUUUAAUGCGUUGGUGAACAUUUAUUUCACCGCAAUUUCGAUGUCUACAAUUUCAUUUCUUGUGAAUAAUGUUUAUCCUGUGUUCUGUCCAAUCGCGUAUUAAAAAAUGUGUGAAGUUUGGAUUAACCACACUCUUUUAGAAUUUCCUUUAUUUACCACUUUUUGAGAAUUUCCAAUAAGACUGGGUGAGUCUCCGCUGAGAAUUUCCUCAACUAACACCACACUACUUGAGGGAUAAUUUGUUAUAUCUUUGAAUAAAGAAUAAAACAGUUUCCUACUUUUGAAGGUACUAUUAACUUACACUAUAUUUGGAUGAAGGUCAAACUUUAUAAAUUGACAUACACCAAAUUCUUUGUUUGGAUUCAUAAACAUAUAAAUUUAGAAUUUCCGCGUGGAAAAAAAAAAUACUUAGAAUUUGAGACCUCCAAUUCUCAAAUUGAAAGUUUAAAAAUAAUAAAUUCCGUAUUCAAUUCAAUUGUUCUUUUAGGUUAACCAAAUAAGAAAAUUCACAAAUUCUAAAAUAUAAAAUCUCAUCAUUUCAAUUUCCGUCAUUUUAAAAUUCCUUAGUAAUAUUAAAUUUCUUCAUCCAAACAUAGUGUUAAGAAAUUUUUUAAAGAUACACUAUUUACACUCAUUUUUAUUUCUUACACAUUUAUUAACUUUGUCCAUUGAUUUCUUCAAUUCAUUUUGCCAGUUAUACAAAAAUUGAGAACAGUAUUUAUGAAUUAAAAAUACAUUUGUAGAUGUCACUACCAAAUUUUUAUUCCUAAUUCAAGAAAAUCUUAUCCAUAUAUGAUUGCCCUUGCCCACUUUAAAUGGGUGCCAUCACUUUACGAUAGAGCAAUCCUAACCGUCCACCUAGGUAAGCAUAACUGGCGAUGCAUGUCGCAAGGGGACCGCAUUGCACAAUAUAAUUAUACUAGUUGAUAAGACAAGUGAUGUCAAUCAAUAAAUUAUUUCAUUAAAACUUAGUUGUAUGUAUCAUAUGUUGUAAUGUAGGGUGUAUGAUAUGCUGACGCUGUAAAAAAAUGUAACCUUUUUAAUAUUACUCAUAAUAGUAAGACUUACCAGUAUUAGGAUGUUAUCAGUGGAAUGAGAAUCCUCUCCAGAUCUUUUUUGUGAGCUAUUAUUUGUAUUUAAUUUUAAAUAUAAAAAAUUAAAAUAAUUUAUGACGGCAGUGAUUCACAUGAUCUUCACAAAGAGAAUCCAAAUAAUCUUAAUUUAUAUCAGUGUGUCUAGAUAACAUGAUCGAGCCCCUUUACUUUUACCCUAUUUAGUAUUUUACAUUUGAACCUGUAAAUAUUCGAUUUUUCUUUGGUGCAACCGAGCACCAAAUAUAGAUUUUUUUUCACUUUUAUAUAAUGAUAAAUAAAGGGCAAUUGGCAGAUUUGAAUUCCAUUCGGAUUGGUCAAAAAUCAUUUUAAAUUGUUUUAUUUAAAAUUAAACACAUAUAGUACUUAAUAAAAAUUAGUCGUACAAUAUACGAUAAACAGAUAUAAUGUAAGGACCUUUAUGAUCUUCACAAAAAAGAUCCAAAGGUUGUGUAGCUGUUUCAAAAGGAUAAUACUCACUUUUGAUUAGUUCAAUGAAAUUUUAAACAUGUUUUAUUGUUUUAAAAAAUAAUAAACAUAUUUAUUAAUGUUUGUUUUACUUUAAAAAAUAAGCAGCACUUGACAACAUUUGAUUGUGCUAAAUAAAAAAUGAGUGACCACUUAGUACUACAGUCUUAUGAUAUUUUUCUUCAUUUGAAAGUGAGAGGUUUUAAGUUCGAAUCUCGUGGAUGACGAAUUUGAUAUCAAAUUAGAUUGCUCACUAUGUGGCUUAGCCGAACUCUCAUUUCCUUUAAUGUAAAAAUAUUGAUGUAUUCAAAAAAAUAAAAAGUGACUAUAGAGGACACUCAAUCUCAGCUGUAUGAUUAAAUCAGACGGUAAGAAAAAUUCUGCAAGCAUACUCGGUUACAUUAAUUGAAGAAAAAAUGGGUAAAUAUUGGGCACCAACGUUAUAAAUACCCUCCACCAUGCACCCAACUCCCUCACACCAUCACAACCCACGUUACAAAUCCUCCUCCUCAUCAUAACCAUUCUGUUUUCCGCAUAAUAUCCAAAAACCUAUCAUGUCUGAAGAGAAACACCACCGCGGUCUCUUCCACCACCACAAGGAUGAAGACAAACCCUCAGACUACCCUCAGUCUGGCUACUCUGAUGAAGGACGUCCCGGCGGCCUCGGUGGUGGUUACGGCGACACCAAUGAUUAUUCUGGUGAAGGACGUACCGGCGGCCUAGGUGGUGGCUAUGGCGACACCAAUGCUUAUUCUGGUGAAGGACGUCCCGGCGGCUAUGGCGGCUAUAACGAGACCACUGCUUACUCUGAGGAAAGAGUUGAAAGACCCGGCGGUGGCCGGUACAGUGAGACUACUGCGGCAUAUGGCAGCACCACCACUCAUGAAUCUGAACUUGAUUACAAGAAGGAGGAGAAGCACCACAAGCAUCUCGAGCACCUCGGCGAGGCCGGUGUAGCUGCUGCCGGCGCUUUUGCCUUGGUACGUAUUGUAUUUUAACCCACCUCUAUAUAUAUAUAUAUUAGAAUAAUGCUAAUAAGACCAAAUUUUGAAAACUAAAUGAUGUGGUUGUUGAUAAUGAACUUAUUACUCAAGUCUUGAUUAACAUGCUUAUUUUCUAAUAGUGACACAUUAUUUGGUUUAGAAAUUUGGUCUUCCUAACUUUAUCAUUCUCAAAAUUUUCAUGAUUUUGAUAGGGUAAUACGGGAGAUCAAAAUUUCUAAACCAAAUUUGCAAACCAAUAGAUGAUUGGAUUAUUAAUUAAGUAUCGAUUGUUUGUUUCUUAUUAACGACAUAUCAUUUGAUUUACAAUUUAGUUAAAAAAAAUUUAUUCUUUCUGUCAUAUCCUUUUGAAUAUUUGAUCACUUUACUCUUUAUCACUUUACCCUUGAUCACUUUACCCAUACUCUUGCAACCGAAUCACCGUCCUCCUCCUUAACCUUCAUUUUUUUGUCUUACAGUACUCCAAUCUAUCAACUCUGUCCAUUGCAACUUUAAUUGUGAAGAAAAUUAAAGUCCUAUCGUAAAAUUAAUUAGUGAUAUGGAGAGUUGCGCAAUUAUUGAUGGACUAGGUAGGUAAGAUACGGAAUCAAAGUCUACCAUUAACAAUGGACGGAAUUGAUGAACCAUAUAGGUAUGUAAGAUACGGAAUCAAAGUCCUCAUGUAAAUGGUACAGUUGCAAUCAGGAGAAGAAAUGAGUUAACUGAUACCUUCGUAAUAGUUCAUGUAGAGUUUUGAUAUUAUUAAGCCUUAACCACCUGAUCUUAUAUAUACGAGGACAAAUCUAAUCAAAUAUGUGUUAAUUUCAAGGUUUGUUUUACAUUGAUGUGAGAUCGAUGCUAGCAAGAUAUAUAACUUAUGUCAGUUUCUAUAUGAUGUGUGUAGCAUGAGAAGCACAAUGAAAAGAAAGACCCAGAGCAUGCCCACAGGCACAAGAUAGAAGAGGAGAUUGCUGCAGCAGCUGCAGUUGGUUCGGGUGGAUUUGCCUUCCAUGAGCAUCAUGAGAAGAAAGAGACAAAGGAAGAAGAGGAAGAGGCUUAUGGAAAGAAGAAGCACCACCACUUCUAGAUCUAUGUGGAUUGUGGAACAUCAUCUUUUGACUACAUAUGCAAUGUUGUGUUUUUACUAGUUAUCAUGUGGUGUGAUCAGUGAGAGUGUGAUGCUUAAUCUCAACAAUAUCGCUACAAUAGUUGAGUGGUUAAAUGUCCUUUUCAAUUAAUGGGUGCUAUCUGGUUUUCUUUUAGCAUGCCAUCUAUGUAUGUAUGUAUGUAUGUAUGUCAUUGUUAUUGUUCAUAAUAAUACUGUUUACUCGGUGUUUAUUUCCUAGUGGCCACAUCUCAUUUUAAAUGAUUUCUUCAUACCAUUAAUUUUUUAAAUGUAAAGACUCAGUAUCCAUAUAACUACGAAAAUUUUUGACAAAACAAAAACAAGAAAAAAGAAAAGGAAAAAAUGGCUUAGCAAGUUUGUAUCCUAUAAGACAAAUGGGUACGUGGAACGAUGGACAUCUCACAAUGGUUUUUGAAUCGUCGGAUCAUCAUGGUUGGACUAUAUAAUUAUCAUUGAUAUAAUAUAAAUUUUGAUUUUUUUUUAGGAAAUUAAUAUCUGAAAACAAUAUUGAUGUACUGCAUUUGUUUUGGACGAUAUUAUACUUUAAUCCAAAUUUUGAGAAAAAAAAAACAUAUCGAACUCAGGUGUACAAGAGUGGCUUUGCUACCCAUGUACAGGGCUAGUUCUGAGUUUUUGGGUGCCCAGUGCGAAAGCUCAAAAUGUGACAUUUUUUAAUACGAAAACAUAUAUUAAAAAAAAUAUUUAAUGAGGGCUGGAACCCAGUCGAAGCUGGAGGGCUAGGACCUCACGCCCAAAUUAUAUUACUUGAGAAAAUAUACAACUGAGGAGGGGACAUGGUACCUAAACCCCGACAAUCAAAAGUACAAUCAUAUACAACCACUCCUAGCAAAUCUCCUUCAAAUUUCAACCUUUAAGAAAUUGUCUUCUGGCAUUUUUUGAAGCAAAAUCAUCAAUUAUAUCAUCAUACUCCAAGUCUUCAAUCUCAUCAUUUUCAAUGCAUAAGAUUGCUAAUCCAUUUAGCCUAUCUUGAGUCAUAGUGGUCCGCAAGUAAGAUUUUAAUAAUUUCAAUUUUGAAAAACUUCUUUUUGCAGAUGCCAUGGUCACAAGUACAGUUAACAGUACACGAUAAGCAAUCAAGACAUUAGGACACAUGUCAGUUUCUUUUACAAAAUUUGCUAUUUCCAUGGAUGUCCAAGGGUUAUUAGAGAGAAAUGCUUCUUCAGGUAAUAUCAUUUGCAAAACCUGCAAUUCGGAAUAUAAGUCAACUCCAUCUACAUCCAUGGUAUUUCCAUGUUUCAAAUGUGCUUCAAGAUUCAUACAAUUUUCUUUUAGCUCUUGAUCAUCCAAUGAAAUUAACUUUGGUGCAUCAAACAAGAAGCCAAAAAUAGAUUCAAAGGAUUUUAACUGUUCAAACUUGUGUUUCAGUUGAGAAAGAGCAAUAUCCACUAUAACAAGAAAAUAAUAUUUCCUAAAUGAUUCUUUAGCAGAUUAUUGUUCCCUCUCAUUACCAUCAACUUCAUCAUGAUGUCUUUUUCUAGGUCUAUGACAUUUAGUUUGAAAAAACAGGGUCAAUUUCCAAAUCAAGUGCAAUUUCAUUAGCAUCACUCAUGGCGGAAGCAAAACCAGUUUCUCUGUAGUUUCCAAAAAAUGUAACAAAUGCUUCAAAUGCCUUUACAGCAACAUCAAGACGCAUGUCUUUAGAUUGUAAUUUUAUGCUCACCAUGUUAAUCUUCAACAAAAUGUCAUACUAAAUAACCAAACUUAAUACAAAAUCAAAACUUGAAAGUUCGCCUGAUGCUAAACAUCUUGCAUCCCUACUUAAUUGAGGAUUUUCAGUAAUUUCCACCAAUUAAACAAAGCAUUUCUAACCUGGGCUACUUGAGACUUAAUUGCUUUAACAUUUUCAAUGUGACUUUCCCAUCGAGUAGUUGACAAUGACUUCAAAGUUAAACCAUCAAUAUGUUCAACCAAAAUAUUCCAACGCUUUGUAGAGUUGGAAAACACCAUAUAUAUGCAUUGACAUGCUCUAAAAAAAGAUUUUGCUUUAAGACAUGAACUUGCCAUAUCACAAACUAUUAAAUUAAGCUAAUGAAAACCACAUGGCAUGUAAAAGGCUAUGGGAUUUAUGUCUAACAAUCUUUUCUGGACAACUUGGUGUUUCCCUCUCAUGUUAGAUCCAUUAUCAUAACCCUGUCCCCUCAUAUCAUCAAUAUCAAGGUCUAAAAUAUCGAUAUUAUCCCGAUAUUUCUUUCGAAAUUUCUGUGUUUUUGGAUUACCGAUAUUUCCGAUAUCAUCGAUAUUUUAGACCUUGAUAGGAACUCUAUGUGAUACUAAGUCACUCAUGUAUCUUACCAUGCAAUGUAUAAAGUGUAAAAUAUUGUAUUAAUUCAUUAUAUAUAAAUGAUUAUGGUGUGUUUAACUUCUUUCAUUAAUUACUACAUAUUUUCUACACUCAAAAUGUUUGUCAGCUCACUAUAUAAUCAACUUAAAUAAGUUAAAUCCAUCAUGAAAUGCAUUUCGUUCCAAUUUUUUGUAAUAAACUAGUAGAUAAUUGACUAAAUAAACAUCCUGCAAAGUUUCAAUAAAAAUUUCCAAGUUUUUCUUAUAAUUUCCGUGGUUUUUAUUCAAUUUUUAUCGAUAUCGAUAAUAUCCCGAUAUUUCCAUCAAAAUUUCCGUAUUUUUGGACUAUCAAUAUUUUCGAUAUCAUUGAUAUUUUAGACCUUGAUCAAUAUCAAGAUCAAGAGAUUUUAGGACAUCUUGCAGCUCGUUAAAAAGCCCUUGUCCUAAUGUAUCUUUCACACUUAAAAACUCCAUGAAAUACUCCCUUAUAUUUAUUGACCUACUUGACAAGUCAACACAUCACAAAAUUAAAGUCAUCUGUUCCACAUGACUUGCAUUAGGAGUACAAUCAAGAAUGACAAAAAAAAAUUUGGCUUCUUUUACUUUUUUAAUGAUUGCGGUUUUGACUUUUGAAGCUAAAGUAGCUAUCAACUCAUUUUUGUUGGAAAUGUGCCCUAAAACCAAUCAUAUGAUGAUACUUUACGAACGUUUCACAUGUUAAACUAAUAUAGUUUAAUAUAAAGGGCAAAAAUUAUUGUUUGUAGCCGUCUCAUAUAAAUGUUAUACGCUUAAACGAUAAGUCCAAGGAAUAUGUAAUUGGGAGAAUGCGAUCUAAAGAAGUUAGAUUCAUGAGACCAUUCUCUUCCGUAUACAUAUCCUAAACGUUACUGAUCA